GGCACAUGACCAUAAUUGCAUAAUAUCCUUAGCUCUCAAGCCUUGGGAACUGGGAAGAAAUCACAGCCUUUUGCAUUUAGUUAAAGGUUCAAUGCUUCCUUCCCAUGUCUUUGAAAGGCGUUGGAUGGCCCGUCUGAGUCCCGUUCAGACCUUCAGGGCUGGCCUUGGACAGAUUCCCAUGUGUUCUCCAUGCAACUACAAGAAUGGCUUGUAAGAUGAUUCCUAGGUAAACAUCACAUUUCCCCCAAUGAAAUCUUUCCCUGUAGUUGGUCUAAGUAAGGCCAACCUUACAUACCAGAGCUUUGAAAGAGGAUUUGUGUAAUUUGAUUGGAUUGCAACCAAGGGUUACUUGGAAAGUGGACGCUUUUAGAAGACAUGCUUGUGAGGAAGGCUUCCUUGAGCCGGUGCUCUCACAGAGAGCUCCGCCCAAGGUAACCAGGAACCAGAGGGAUGCCAUAUGGCAUUUAGGCAGGAGGCAAGAAUCCAAAAGUACCAGGACAUUUCUUGUUGAGACCAGGAAGGAAGGAGUCACUGGUGACAGCACUCCCAGAGCAAGGGAGGGCGGCACAGGUCAGUGCUGGCAAUUCAUUCAUCCUCCCCAGCCUGCUCCUCAGUCCCAGCCCGGACUCUGAGGAAACAGCAGGAAGUGACAGUGUCAUAAUGCCCAGUGAGUUGAGCAUUUCAUGGGUCAUGAACCUUUCACCUUUCUCUUCCUGACAGGCCUAGGGAAAGUGCUAGGUUGGCUUGAGCACCAGGAAGCACGGUGCUCCCGUGGCAGAGAGACAGGUGGCUCCCAACUGCCACAUGAGGGACUGAAACUCUAAGUAUUAAAUUAAACCUGUAUAAAUGUACAACCUUAAGCCUAAUCAGGUGACAACCAUAUUUAAGGAAGAAUGCAGAGGAGGAAGAAUGGAAUUAACCUUUGCAACCAAAACAAAACAGAACAAUGCCAUAUAUGAGGGCCUUAUGUCAAUAUCUAUCCACGGGUCCUUGUUCAAGCAAACUUAAGGAAGGCGCAUUCCAGUUGGCCUGACCCUGACUCCCAUCGUGGGACAUCUUUCAAUCCACUGUGGGAAUUCUUACAGUUUUCCUACUUAAGACUCUCAUGAAUUACAGUGACUAUUCGGCCUAGGACCUCAAAAAAGAAAUUUUUAUUCUAGAAGGAUUUCUCAACUCUUCAAGAGGUAUUUGACUACUCUGAUCCUUCAUGUUGUCUCUUGUCACAUGCCCCGCUUCUCAAAAUUCACCCACCAGCCCUGGUAGUCAUGGCAACUAUUGACCUUAAACAAAUAGACAGCCAGUUAUCUCUCUAGCGAAAAUUGGUUUAUUCGGGAUCAACAAAGAAUUGCAAUUCAGGAUCUGCAACCAUGGCAAGUCACAUGCUAGUUGCGAGCAACAAGGGGAGGAAAAACUCUUUUAUAGAGGGGAAGAUGAAGUUGGAAGGGCUAUUGUAAACAGAGUCCAUUGGAGGAACUGAAGUUGGGCAUGUCGUGGCUUCUCACUGGCUGAGUUGUGACAGUCUCUCAUUGGCUGAGCGUCUUGCCAGUCAAGAAGAGGACGUCUUUCUUCCUUCUGUUGGGCUCUGCCAUGGUGGUAGGGCAUGAGCGCUCCCCAUUCCCUCCUCCCAACUAA
rnacentral:lncRNA from 1 species